UUGGAGGGCAAGUCUGGUGCCAGCAGCCGCGGUAAUUCCAGCUCCAAUAGCGUAUAUUAAAGUUGUUGCAGUUAAAAAGCUCGUAGUUGAACUUCAGACCUGGCUGGGCGGUCCGCUUAACGGCGUGUACUGUCUGGCUGGGUCUUACCUCUUGGUGAGCCGGCGUGCCCUUUAUUGGUGUGCGUCGGGGAACCAGGACUUUUACCUUGAGAAAAUUAGAGUGUUCAAAGCAGGCCUAUGCCUGAAUACAUUAGCAUGGAAUAAUAAAAUAGGACGUGCGGUUCUAUUUUGUUGGUUUCUAGAGUCGCCGUAAUGAUUAAUAGGGAUAGUUGGGGGCAUUGGUAUUGUGUCGCUAGAGGUGAAAUUCUUGGAUUGACACAAGACCAACUACUGCGAAAGCAUUUGCCAAGGAUGUUUUCAUUAAUCAAGAACGAAGGUUAGGGGAUCGAAAACGAUCAGAUACCGUUGUAGUCUUAACAGUAAACUAUGCCGACUAGGGAUCGGACGACCUCAAUUUUGAUGCGUCGUUCGGCGCCUUACGGGAAAC
rnacentral:rRNA from 1 species